AAGAAUUAGAAAUACAAGUUCUACUGGGAGAGGCAGAGGGAGGGACUAGGAAUAUGAGUUGGCAGAGUAAAGGGAAAGGGAACUGGUAGAGGAAGGGGAAGGGGAGCUGGUUCUGAUUCUACAAGUACAGCAACAUCUGCAGCAAAUGCACGUGUUGGCUUUGCAACUGUUGCUUCUCUUGAUGCUUGCUACAAGAUCUAUUUCUACUAUUGUUGCAAAAAAAGAACGAGAGAAAUGGGAUUUGGUAUUCACACAGACACACAAUCUGGAAGACAAGUCCUUAAUGAAGACCAAGUGAAAGAGUCAUUUAUAGUGGGGGACAAUUAAAAAAUAAAUCACUUACCAAUAUUGAUCUUGGAUUCAAGCCACCUGGAUUGAAAUGGAAGGAAAAAUAUGCUAUUAUUGGAAACCAACUUCACCAACAAAAAGAGAUGCAAAUCAUGAAGAAAAAGGCUCACCGGAGAACAUUUCACUUUAUGUAUUUUGUUCAAGUAUUUUGUCUUGGGUCAUUUUCAUGAACCUAAAACUGAAAUUUAUUUAUUUACUAUUCAAGCAAUGUUUCAUAUGUAUGUUUGGCAUUUUA